UGGCAACAUUACUAGAGCAUUCCUGGGCAA
rnacentral:piRNA from 1 species